CGGUCCAAACUCCUACGGGAGGCAGCAGUGGGGAAUAUUGCACAAUGGGCGCAAGCCUGAUGCAGCGACGCCGCGUGAGGGAUGACGGCCUUCGGGUUGUAAACCUCUUUCAGUAGGGAAGAAGCGAAAGUGACGGUACCUGCAGAAAAAGCGCCGGCUAACUACGUGCCAGCAGCCGCGGUAAUACGUAGGGCGCAAGCGUUGUCCGGAAUUAUUGGGCGUAAAGAGCUCGUAGGCGGCUGGUCGCGUCUGUCGUGAAAUCCUCUGGCUUAACUGGGGGCUUGCGGUGGGUACGGGCCGGCUUGAGUGCGGUAGGGGAGACUGGAACUCCUGGUGUAGCGGUGGAAUGCGCAGAUAUCAGGAA
rnacentral:rRNA from 14 species